rnacentral:tRNA from 1 species
UAGCUCAGUCCAGUAGAGCAUGGUGCUGAUAACACCAAAGUCGUGGGUUCGAUCCCUGC